GUUUUCUAUAAGAAGAGAGAUGGUUGGAAUGUCCUCUGACAGGGACGGGAACAGCCUUCGGGCUUCCCUGUUAUAGACACACCCAGUUUCAUCGGCAAAUCUAACAAAUUUUUUCU